rnacentral:rRNA from 1 species
GACGAACGCUGGCGGCGUGCUUAACACAUGCAAGUCGAACGGUGAAGCGCCUUCCUUUUUGGUGGGUGUGGAUGAGUGGCGAACGGGUGAGUAACACGUGAGUAACCUGCCCCCUUCUUCUGGAUAACCGCAUGAAAGUGUGGCUAAUACGGGAUAUUCUUGGUCUGUCGCAUGAUGGGUCUGGGAAAGAUAUUGUUUCGGUGGGGGAUGGGCUCGCGGCCUAUCAGCUUGUUGGUGGGGUGAUGGCCUACCAAGGCGGUGACGGGUAGCCGGCCUGAGAGGGUGGACGGUCACACUGGGACUGAGACACGGCCCAGACUCCUACGGGAGGCAGCAGUGGGGAAUAUUGCACAAUGGGCGCAAGCCUGAUGCAGCGACGCCGCGUGAGGGAUGGAGGCCUUCGGGUUGUGAACCUCUUUCGCCAGUGAAGCAGGCCUGCCUCGUUUGUGGGUGGGUUGACGGUAGCUGGAUAAGAAGCGCCGGCUAACUACGUG